CUCUAUUCAAGGUAAUCACUCACUUCAAAAUAGUUCGUUUUAGAUUGAACCUGUGAUUUAAAAAUGAAAAAUGAGUAUUUCAUGCUCCGAUUUGGUAAUCUGCUACAUUAACAGCAGAUUUUUAUUUUUUGAUAAUAUUAACUGUAGAUUUUAAAUGUGCAAAUCUUGCUGUCCAGGAAAGCUAUAUGUUGCAUAUAAGAGUUCCUGAAAGCAUUAAUUAUUUAUCUAGAAGGGACGGAGUGAGAAAUUGGUUGGUUUUGUUCACUUAUGCGAAGUAUUCAUGGGUUAGUUUUGUUUGGUAUGAUUCAAAGAGCAGUAAAGGUGAUAUAGUUUUCUCCUCUGCUUUUACCUCCAUUCCUACCACCCUCUCCUUUUCACGCCAAGUCGAUAUAGUGAGUAAUUUGACUUGAACCGUUUCACAGCAAAAUUCAUAUACAUAUACAUUCAUAUUAUAUAUGUGCGUCUAUGUAGCUUCAUUCUCUAUUAUCUUUGAGUUUUCUUAGUUCUAUUUCCUUAUAUGUCCUUCACUAGGGUGGAAACCUCAAAUUUAUCCACGGAGCCCUCUGGAGGUAGAGUUGAGGCUGCUUGACGCUCUUCUCCUUUCGAGUGAAUUGCUUCAAUUCGGAUGCCUUUGUUCAAUUCUAGUGAUUGUUUCAUUAGAAAUCUUACAACUAAAACCUCUCUAUCUGAGUAGUGAAAAAUUCUCCACUAAUUAUCUGCUUAGCACUAAGAAACCCCUCUAACUAACUAACCACCGCUAAUUUAAAUUAGUUAAGUACAGGAUGUAACUAUAUACAAGAACUACUAACUGCCUAAUCAGUUGAUCCACUAGCUUCAAGCCUUCAACAGGACUGUAGGUUUGUGACAUUGGUGGCAAGGAGUCAAUGGUUGAAGCCAUUACCAACUUGAAGUUAGCUUCGGAGAAUAGGGACUGCUUAAUCAUCAGUGGAAAAAUUUCGCUCUAUCUCUAUUUUUGAAAGUACCCAUUAGAGUUAUUAGAGGAUCGUUUGCCACUCUUGCCAUGAGGACGAACAUCAAUCACACGUGCAAAGGCGCCAUGAGAAUGGAGACAUUUUAAACACCAUAUAUGUUUCACAAUGAUGCAGUAUUAUAGCUGGAUUUGCACUAUAUCCUCUGUAUGUUACAACUUGCGAUGAUUUCAUACUUGUGCUGUUGAGAGGUUGUAUCUAAAUUGUCAAAAAGUUCACAAGGGUGCAGUAGAACAGGGAUACAGUUUGUAAUAAGAGUCCGCCCUUUUGUAACAUUUGAAUAGGCGCAAGUAUUUACCACUAUAGAAAACUAAACAUGCCAUGUAAUAUUUAUGUCUAAUGUUGAAGUUGUGUUCUUA